rnacentral:rRNA from 1 species
AUUGAACGCUGGUGGCAUGCCUUACGCAUGAUAAGUCGAACGGUAACAGGUCUUCUGAUGCUGACGAAUGGCGAACGGGUGAUCUAAUACAUCGGAACGUGCCUAGAAAUGGGGGAUAACUACUCGAAAGAGUGGCUAAUACCGCAUGAGAUCUACGGAUGAAAGCAGGGGAUCGCAAGACCUUGUGCUACUAUAGCGGCCGAUGGCACAUUAUGUAGUUGGUGGGAUAAAAGCUUACCAAGCCGACCAUCUGUAUCUGGUCUGAUAGGACGAUCAGCCGCACUGGGACUGAGACACGGCCCAGACUCCUACGGGAGGCAGCAAUGAGGAAUUUUGGACAAUGGGCGCAAGCCUGAUCCAGCAAUGCCGCGUGCAUGAUGAAGGCCUACGGGUUGUAAACUGCUUUUGUGCGGAACGAAAAGCCCUGGGUUAAUACCCUGGGGUCAUGACGGGACCGUAAGAAUAAGCACCGGCUAACUACGUGCCAGCGGCCGCGGUAAUACGUAGGGUGCGAGCGUUAGUCUGAAUUACUGGGCGUAACGCGUGCGCAGGCGGUUUUGUAAGACGGAGGUGAAUCCCCCGGGUCAACCCGGGGAACGCCCUCUGUGACUGCAAGCUUAGAGUACGGCAGAGGGGAUGGAUCUCCGCGUGCAGCAGUGAAAUGCGAAAAUAUGCGGAGGAACACCGAGGGCAAAGGCAAUCCCCUGGGCCUGUACUGACGCUCAUGCACGAAAGCGGGGGGAGCAAACAGGAUUAAAUACCCUGGUAGUCCACGCCCUAAACGAUGUCACCUGGUUGUUGGGUCUUAACUGACUCAGUAACGAAGCUAACGCGCGAAGUUGACCGCCUGGGGAGUACGGCCGCAAGGGUGAAACUCAAAUGAAUUGACGGGGGCCCGCACAAGCGGUGGAGCAUGUGCUUUAAUUCGAUGCAACGCGAAGAACCUUACGAGGUCUUGACAUAGUAAGAACUUUCCAGAGAUGGAUUGGUGCCUUCGGGACCUUACAUACAGGUGCUGCAUGGCUGUCGUCAGCUCGUGUCGUGAGAUGUUGGGUUAACUCCCGCACCGAGCGCAACCCUUUUCCUUAUAUGCCAGCGGGCUAAGCCGGGAACUUUAAGGAUACUGCCAGUGACAAACUGGAGGAAGGCGGGGAUAGACGUCAAGUCAUCCUGGCCCUUCCGACCAGGGCUACCCUCGUGCUACAAUGGUCGGUACAAAGGGUUGCUACCUAGCGAUAGGAUGCUACUCUCAAAAAGCCGAUGGUAGUCUGGACUGGAGUCUGCAACUCGACUCCAGCAAGUUGGACUCUCUAGUAAUCGCGGAUCAGAAUGCCGCGGUGAAUACGUUCCCGGCCCU